CAUUUCUCAUCUUCUAUUUUUUUUUCUAUUAUCAUGGGUGAUUUUGGUGUCUAUAGGUAUAAAUUUUGUGUUUUUUAAGGUUGGGUUGUUUGUUUCUUGUUGUUAAUUUGUUCCCAAAUUCAUAAAGUUGCAAUCUUUGCUUUAAGAAACUGGUUUUCUUGAAGAGAAAAUUCUCAAGAUGGUUAGAAGAAGAAUGUUUUUCUGUGACUAAAACAGAGUAAUUUGGAAUUCUCAACUGUCAACCUUUUCUCUGGAAAAUCUUGUUCUGUACAUUUCUUGGAUCCAAGUGGGGGUUUCUAUAUUUGAAAAUUUAAUGCAGGGUCUUCUAUUUCUUAGAUUAUUUGGUGCAGUUCACCACAAAAGUUGUGUAACAUGAUGCUUUUACACUGUAAAUUUGGGCAAAAAAUCUCUGUUGUUCUGUGUUCUUCGAAUCUUUCUUGGUAUGGUUGAUGAGAUAUGGUGUUGCAGAAGAGGUUAGAUUAUGGAUUUAAUGGCUAUCAGGUGCCUCAUAUACCUCGAGCUACCAGAUCGGUUAGGAGAAGGGGUAUUAUUAAGAGAAAAGCUGAUGGCAAUGGAACUUGUCCCUUUGACUUGUUAGCUACUGUAGCUGGCAAGUUACUGGGGGAAGGAGAGAGUUCGCCUGAUUCUACGGGUUCUGUUAAAGGGAAGGAGAAAGGUGCAAUUGUGAAAGAUGAAAAGGUAAAGGAGGCUGAGGAUAAAUCUCUAAAAGAAAAAUCUUAUACUGAAGGCUGUUAUGAACGGGGCUUCUUUAUUUCUGAGCUUGUCUCACAAGCUCCAGUCGUAAAUCGUUCUUUAAGCGAACUGCCACAUGUUCAAAAUGAUACGAUCUCUAGACCUGCAUCUGCCAGUAUGAGUUCCGAUUGCUCUGAGAAGUUACUCUUUGCUAAACAGUUUGUAAAUGGUGAAAGCAGCGAGGAACAUGAAAACUUUUGUUCGAAGACAGAACGGGAGGCGUCCGGCUGUGGAGUCUUUUCCAGUUGUACAUUAGACACUGAAAACGAUAAACAGAUGAAAAUUGAGCUGUCAAAUAAAGCUAAAGUUUUGACUGAUAAGGGGACUGCAAUUUCCAGUUCAAAGUUCCCUGAUGUUUGGGACAAGAAACCUUCAACACUUGUUACUUCAGAUGAAAAUGUAAAAUUAUCUCUGUCUACAUAUCCUGCUCCUUCUAGGUCCUUUCCGGUGAUUCGGAAUGAUGUAAAAUUAGCUUAUAAAGAUGAUGACGAAAACUCUGGGUGCACUCAACCUAGCACCCCAAAUAAGGCCUCCGGGGCAGCACCACGUGUACGGGAUCGGCCAAUUAAGAAGUUACUAGCUUCCAAAUAUUGGGUAGAAAAUCUUAAAUCUGAUGACGAGGGCCAUGCCAAUUCUGGUGGGAAAACAAUGCAUGUUUACUACAACAGAAACAUUGGCUACAAGCGGGACGGCUACAAGCAACAAAGGUCUCAGAGGGAUUUUCCUUUCAAGAAAAGAAAGCUCUUUAAAUGUGGCUCGUUCUCCAAUUCUGAUGGAGAGAUGAGUACGGAUGGAAUAAGUAGUUCUCCAAAAAAUGACUUGCAUGGAAAUGCUUCCGGUAGUAGUAAAGCAUCUUCAGGAGGCUGCGCAGCGGUUGGAACGUCAGUUUUCAGUGGAGGUCGUCCAUUCCUCAGGCCUGGUGAUUCCCAUGUUAAGUUUAGAAUUAAGUCCUUCAAGGUUCCUGAGCUUUUUGUUGAUAUUCCGGAAAAUGCAACUAUUGGUUCUUUAAAGAGGACUGUAAUGGAAGCAGUGACUGCUAUACUUGGUGGUGGAUUACGAAUCGGUGUGGUUUUUCAGGGUAAGAAGGUUAGAGAUGACAACAAAACCUUGUUACAGACUGGAAUAUCUCACGAUUACAAGCUUGACGCUUUGGGCUUCUCACUCGAGCCCAAUCCCGUUCAAACUUCCCAACCUCUUGGUCAAGACUGUCGUUCUUGUGUACUUCCUUAUGAAACACCUCAACCUCUAACAAGUAUAUAUGUCAGCAGGUGCCCAUCUCCUUCUACUGUGAUUCAUACUGGCAUUCAUCAAGGGAGAUCUGAUGAUCAUACAGGAACAAGUUUGAGUACCUUUCUUGAAAGUGACCAUGAAUCAGCUCCAUCUCCUCAUUAUGCGGCUCUAGAGAAAAUUUCUGCAAAUUCAAGAGCAUUGGUUCCACUAACUGCAGUAAAUGCAGAAGCCUUGUCUGCAGUCCCAUUGCGGAAGCCCAAGCGAUCCGAGGCCACCCAACGUCGAAUCCGUAGACCUUUUUCUGUCUCUGAAGUGGAAGCACUUGUUCAAGCUGUUGAGAAGCUUGGAACAGGAAGGUAUGUUUAGUAAAACCAUAUUUCAAGAUGGCGUGACGUGAAACUUCGAUCUUUUGAUAAUGCCAAACAUAGAACCUAUGUUGAUUUGAAGGACAAAUGGAAAACUCUGGUGCACACAGCAAGAAUAUCCCCUCAGCAAAGGAGGGGCGAGCCGGUGCCACAAGAGCUCUUGGACAGGGUCCUCACGGCUCACGCUUACUGGUCCCAACAGCAAGCCAAGCAACAGAUGAAACAGCCAUCGGAGACUUACCUUCUUCUCUAGGAACGUCGUGGAAGUGGCUGGGGAGUAAAUAAGAGUUUAGAUUAUUUGUUAGUGUAAAAGGUGUUAUGUUAAUAAAAGUUAUACCGGGGAAAGUGAUCAAGUUCCUUCCCAAGAGGAGUUGAAGCUGCUCUUGUAAAUGUUUUGAUAGAAUAAAGUGUUUUUGCUAACAGAACUUUUUUUUUUUUGUACUAAAUGCUUCUUUUCUUGGAAAGAAGUUCUUUCUGAGGUAAGGGUGUUGUAUUUUGUAGUUUAUUUGUCCCUUCAAUAGAAAAGGGAAAUGUAGUUGAUUGUAAAACUUUAGUUCAAUAUCAUACUAAUAUAAUUCUCAUGUUUUUUGGACAUGAA